rnacentral:rRNA from 1 species
UACGUAGGGUGCAAGCGUUGUUCGGAAUCAUUGGGCGUAAAGCGCGUGUAGGCGGUUUGUUAAGGCGAUUGUGAAAUCCCUGGGCUCAACCGAGGAAGUGCAGUCGAAACUAAUAAGCUAGAGGACGGCAGAGGAUGGUGGAAUUCCAAGUGUAGAGGUGAAAUUCGUAGAUAUUUGGAGGAAUACCGGUGGCGAAGGCGGCCAUCUGGACCGGUCCUGACGCUGAGACGCGAAAGCGUGGGGAGCAAACAGG